rnacentral:tRNA from 1 species
GCCGCUGUCGUUCAACGGAUAGGACGGGGGUUUCCUAAACCCUAAAUGCAGGUUCGACUCCUGCCGGUGGCACCA